CUGCGCCCGGCCCCUACAUGCAAUGUCUUGUUAAAUUUAUUCCUAAGUUGUUUCUCUUAUUUGCAGCUUUAUAAAUGGGGUUGUUUUUACUGUUAUGUUCCGUAGCUAAACAAUGUUUUUAAAAGGUUAACACGGGCUACAGAGUAAAGCAGCUACCAUUCAGAGACACAAAGACAAUAAAACCUCAAUUUUACAACUGAAAAAUCAGAGAAGAUAUUUACAGAGCAAUUAGGACCAAGCAUUACCAUCCCAGGUCAGCUCCCUUGUCAAGCUGUUCUGCUUUGAAAGUAGAAGAGCAACCUUUAUAAAUCCUCAGGAACAGAAAGGGCUACCAUUAAAAAUCAUUCAUUUCAAGGAUCAUUAAAAAUGGACAAUUUAAUUUGCAUUUCAAAAGUAGACUCAGAAAAGAUAAAUUUGUCAGGAUGACUAGUGGGAAAAGUUUCAUGGUGCAAAUUAUCUUUCGUCUUCAUGGAAUAUAUGGUAUAUAGCAACAAGGUAUAAAAAGGGAACUAAAGAGAUAUAAAAGCCUUAAUUAUUUGACAAAGAUCAGGGAUAAGAUGAUGAAACCAACUAUCCCUCAAAAGGAACUUCAACCAUUUUUUUAAAUCCAUAAAUAGCAACACGAAUGUCUCACUCAUUUAUUUAUUCUGCAACCAUUUAUUGAGUGCCUUCUAGCAGCCGGUGUUCUUUCUAGGAGCUGGCACUCAGAGGUCAAGUUUACAAUCUUGGUCCUCAGGUUGCUCACAGGACUUACAGGGAAGAUGAACCAGCAAACAGAUGUUACAGGUAACAGGUGCCACAGCUAACAGGUGCGAUAGGGCUCUACUUGGGCUAUAGGAAGAGGUGAGGAACGGAUCAGGAAGAAAAGAUUUCCCAGUGGGGUGGAGGGGAUUUUAACCAAAAUUUCAAGGGUAAAGAGGAGGUAUCCAGGCAAUGAAAGAGGAGAAGGGAAUUUCUGGCAGAGGGAGGAGGGUCAGCAUUCAGGGACAUGGGAAGUGAGGCGGGUGGCUGCGGCUUAGUACAGAAGGAGGCUGUGGCUGGGCAGGUGGGCAGGGUUUGCAUAAGAAGGAUCUUGCAUUUCAUGGGAAGACUUUGGAUCCAAUUCUGAAGGCAGUGAGGAGCAUGGAAGGAUUCUCAGCAGGGGGAGAUAGGGUCAAAUUUGGAGUUUUGGAAAAGUCCUCCAGCUUCACUGAGAGGGGCAGGCUGUAGGCUGGGAGGGCAAACAGGAAGAUGAUGUAGCAGUCUAGAAGAAAAGAUCUCAGGGCCUGGAGGAAGAGGGGCUGGAGACCAGACAAUGGGACAGAGAUGGGUUGUUUUACGGAAAGAGAUGCAACAAGACAUGGUCAUUGGCUAGACUUGAAAGGUGGGGCCCGAUAGGGGUGGAGGAAGAUUGGCCCAAAGUUUUUUUUACCUGGAUGGCUGAGGUUUUAGGGAGCAAAGAAGAUGAUUAAGUUAUAUUUGUCAUGUGCUGAAUUUAUUAAACUUGGAAGUGCUAAAAAGUUCACUAGACCAGUGGAUCUCAAACUUGGAUGUGCUUCUUGAUCUCACCUGAAAGAUAGGAGUGGCUAUACCUAAUUUAUAACAUCUGAAAUGUAAUACAGAUAAAAUGAGGUGAAGAAGAAUAAAC
rnacentral:lncRNA from 1 species